GCUUAACACACGCAAGUCGAGGGGCAUCAUGCUUAUAGCAAUAUAAGUGAUGGCGACCGGCGCACGGGUGAGUAACACGUAUCCAACCUGCCGUCUACUCUUGGACAGCCUUCUGAAAGGAAGAUUAAUACAAGAUGGCAUCAUGAGUCCGCAUGUUCACAUGAUUAAAGGUAUUCCGGUAGACGAUGGGGAUGCGUUCCAUUAGAUAGUAGGCGGGGUAACGGCCCACCUAGUCUUCGAUGGAUAGGGGUUCUGAGAGGAAGGUCCCCCACAUUGGAACUGAGACACGGUCCAAACUCCUACGGGAGGCAGCAGUGAGGAAUAUUGGUCAAUGGGCGAGAGCUUGAACCAGCCAAGUAGCGUGAAGGAUGACUGCCCUAUGGGUUGUAAACUUCUUUUAUAAAGGAAUAAAGUCGGGUAUGGAUACCCGUUUGCAUGUACUUUAUGAAUAAGGAUCGGCUAACUCCGUGCCAGCAGCCGCGGUAAUACGGAGGAUCCGAGCGUUAUCCGGAUUUAUUGGGUUUAAAGGGAGCGUAGAUGGAUGUUUAAGUCAGUUGUGAAAGUUUGCGGCUCAACCGUAAAAUUGCAGUUGAUACUGGAUAUCUUGAGUGCAGUUGAGGCAGGCGGAAUUCGUGGUGUAGCGGUGAAAUGCUUAGAUAUCACGAAGAACUCCGAUUGCGAAGGCAGCCUGCUAAGCUGCAACUGACAUUGAGGCUCGAAAGUGUGGGUAUCAAACAGGAUUAGAUACCCUGGUAGUCCACACGGUAAACGAUGAAUACUCGCUGUUUGCGAUAUACUGCAAGCGGCCAAGCGAAAGCGUUAAGUAUUCCACCUGGGGAGUACGCCGGCAACGGUGAAACUCAAAGGAAUUGACGGGGGCCCGCACAAGCGGAGGAACAUGUGGUUUAAUUCGAUGAUACGCGAGGAACCUUACCCGGGCUUAAAUUGCAGAUGAAUUACGGUGAAAGCCGUAAGCCGCAAGGCAUCUGUGAAGGUGCUGCAUGGUUGUCGUCAGCUCGUGCCGUGAGGUGUCGGCUUAAGUGCCAUAACGAGCGCAACCCUUGUUGUCAGUUACUAACAGGUUCCGCUGAGGACUCUGACAAGACUGCCAUCGUAAGAUGUGAGGAAGGUGGGGAUGACGUCAAAUCAGCACGGCCCUUACGUCCGGGGCUACACACGUGUUACAAUGGGGGGUACAGAGGGCCGCUACCACGCGAGUGGAUGCCAAUCCCCAAAACCUCUCUCAGUUCGGACUGGAGUCUGCAACCCGACUCCACGAAGCUGGAUUCGCUAGUAAUCGCGCAUCAGCCACGGCGCGGUGAAUACGUUCCCGGGCCUUGUACACACCGCCCGUCAAGCCAUGGGAGCCGGGGGUACCUGAAGUGCGUAACCGCGAGGAGCGCCCUAGGGUAAAACUGGUGACUGGGGCUAAGUC
rnacentral:rRNA from 1 species